UACCUAUGAGAUGUUUGUUUGC
rnacentral:siRNA from 1 species